UGUUAUUGCAAUAACAGGAGGCAACAUACCAGAAGUCAGGCUGUCCUUCACAUCAGAACUGAAAUUUCAGGGGAUUUGAUUUGCUUCCCAGACUUUGAGACUUUGCAUUUUUCUGUUUCAAGUCUUUCAUGUGACUUCCACUGCUAGAAUUCUUCUGCUAAGCAUUGCCUUCAUAGUAGCAGUGUCACGCUGGAAAAGCUGAUGCAGAAGACUACAAUUAGUAUGUAACUCCUAGCAAUGCAACUAAAACUAAUUAGGUAAUAAAGGAUGAUUGACAGAAUCAAUAUAGUCAUAGACUGGGGAGAAAUUCUGAGGCAAAGCAAAAAGAAGAUGUUAAGUGAAAGGAACAGCAAUUUUAAGACUGAUAGAAAAUACAGAAUACACAGAAAUACUUUACAACAACUGCAGAAUCUCACUAUCAGAGCAUCAAGUGGAAUAUGACACACCUGUCUAUGAAACAUAAGAUUUACAACACCAGAGACUAUUUGAGAAACCCUCCAGGUUUAAGUGUAUUUUGAGGAAGACAAAGACAAUUGCUCACGCAGUAAGGAAAAACAGACAAGUGUCUUAAGG